UACGAAGGGGGCUAGCGUUGCUCGGAAUUACUGGGCGUAAAGCGCGCGUAGGCGGAUUGAUUAGUCAGAGGUGAAAUCCCAGGGCUCAACCCUGGAACUGCCUUUGAUACUGUCAGUCUGGAGCAAAGUAGAGGCGAGUGGAAUUCCGAGUGUAGAGGUGAAAUUCGUAGAUAUUCGGAGGAACACCAGUGGCGAAGGCGACUCGCUGGACUUUUGCUGACGCUGAGGCGCGAAAGCGUGGGGAGCAAACAGG
rnacentral:rRNA from 1 species